UUUGGUUUGUUACGUGUGGUUGGCUGCGGCGUUUGCAACAACUUCCAUGCUCUCAGACCUCUUCAGUUGUGCGGCAAGGCUUGUAUCGCCUUGAGCGUAUCGUGGGUUUUCUGUGUUGGCUACCUAAUCGACGGUAUCGUUUGGACUGAUCAAAGUGUGAUUUCGUCUUCCGUCGCGUUUGCGGCGUGAGGUGAACCUUGACGCGGUCUCUUUGAUCCAUCUCGUCGAAGCACAUGCUUUGACGUUGUGGCACAUUGAGCAUUGCUUGGUCUCUUGUGUACGGAACACGUAGCGGGCAUGGAUCUAACGAUUCUUGUUUGCCCUCAUAUUAGCGUAACGCUUCUCAAACACGACUUGCAUCGCGUUUUAG
rnacentral:misc_RNA from 1 species